CCUCUUUCGUCUUUCCUCCCGUCUCCAUCUCCAUCUCUGUGUUUAGAGAACUCUUUCCUCUCUUCUCAACUAUAAACCCCCGCAUCAUGAAGAACGUCAGGGUUUGUCAAGAUUGAAGAACAUUGAAGGUACUUGAAAGAAAAUCUGAGCUGGCUAGGCUAAAAGCCCUUGAUUGUGGAAAACCAUUGGAUGAAGCAGCAGGGGGCAUGGAUGAUGUUGCCGGAUGUUUCGAGUAUUAUGCAAAGGAAUUUAUCAACGGAGAAACUUUAUUUGUUUCGUUAAAUUAUUCUCUUUGUCCUCUGAAUUUUUCUUCUUUGUUUGUUUCAUCUGGUUUCAUUUGUUUCUCAUUUAUGAUGUUCCCCUGUGCUUGAUUGCAGCUAACUCUGACUCUCACAAUGAGGGGCAAUACUAAAGCAUUGUAGCGUUGAAGUUCAGAGUCAGGCUCAGGCUAGUUAGCAGGUUAGAGCCCCAGAUUUGGGAGUGAUAGGGGCAUAUCUCAUUUUUCUCAUACAAUAUCUUUUAGGCUAAACUGAGUGGCGCAAGAGUUGAGCCAUCCAUGUUGCAGGAACAUUUAGUAUCUGUUUUAUUUUUUUGGUUUCUGUUUUUACUUUCAGUAGUUGCAGAGUUUCGACUUUUAAGGCUGUGGGAGGGUGAUGCUAACUUGAAUGUUCACUUUAAGAUCAAAAUAGAACUCUAUUGUAGCAUUUGAAUUUCAUUGAUGUCUGUCCAUCUUUUGGGAAGUUAAUAUAUGUUCUUGUAGGUAUUACUUAGAAUCUGCCUACUUUGGUUUAUGUUUUACUUUCAGGAAUGACAGUGUUUUGAGGCUGUGGGUGGGUGAUGCUAAUCCAGUUAUGCAGCUUGAGUCAUUGGCUUAAUUCUGGUGCAAAAUAGUUUAACGUUCUUACGUUUCCUGUUUGUAUGCUACACCAUUGAUCAGUUCACACAUUCCUGGAGGUCAAUUACCACCUGGGAUGAUGAGACCACCUAUUCUGCCACGAUCAGCUGGUAUUCCAGGUGCAUAACUUUCUCUAGAAUUGUGGAUGAUGACCAAAUGAUGUUGGAAUGACAAGCUUGAAAUGACAGCGAAGAAAUGAAUUCAAAGAGGCAUAUAGCUAUGUACCUGGGCAGCUAAGAAAAUAAUGAUGCUUGUCGAGAUAUGUGUAAAACACUAAAACUAACUGCUUAAUCUUCGGGAUGGGCAGGUACAACUUUAUUUUUUCUCUUAGACACAUCCAACAAUGUUAUUUCUUUUAGAACAUAUUGUAAGAUACAUUGUGUAAAUUUCCCUUGUGUAAUCUUAACUUGAUGGAUAUGUCCUAAUGAAAGUUCUUGUUGUCAUAUGA